UACGAGGGGGGCGAGCGUUGUUCGGAAUUAUUGGGCGUAAAGGGUGCGUAGGCGGUUUGGUAAGUCUUGUGUGAAAUCUCCAGGCUCAACUUGGAGUCUGCACGAGAAACUGCCGGGCUUGAGUAUGGGAGAGGUGAGUGGAAUUUCCGGUGUAGCGGUGAAAUGCGCAGAUAUCAGGAGGAACACCGAUGGCGAAGGCGGCUCACUGGCCCGAUACUGACGCUGAGGCACGAAAGCGUGGGGAGCAAACAGG
rnacentral:rRNA from 1 species